UGGGGAAUAUUGGACAAUGGGUGAGAGCCUGAUCCAGCCAUGCCGCGUGCAGGAAGAAGGCGUUAUGCGUUGUAAACUGCUUUUUGCCAGGGGAUAAAAAGACCGUGCGCGGUUAAUUGAAGGUACCUGGUGAAUAAGCCACGGCUAACUACGUGCCAGCAGCCGCGGUAAUACGUAGGUGGCAAGCGUUGUCCGGAUUUAUUGGGUUUAAAGGGUGCGUAGGUGGCCCUGUAAGUCAGUGGUGAAAUAUCUCAGCUUAACUGAGAGGGUGCCAUUGAUACUGCAGGGCUUGAGUACAGAUGAGGUAGGCGGAAUUGACGGUGUAGCGGUGAAAUGCAUAGAUAUCGUCAAGAACACCGAUAGCGAAGGCAGCUUACCAAGCUGUAACUGACACUGAGGCACGAAAGUGUGGGGAUCAAACAGGAUUAGAUACCCACGUAGUCCCUGAGCGGGCUGGCAAGGCGCAU
rnacentral:rRNA from 1 species